UACAGAGGGUGCAAGCGUUGUUCGGAAUUAUUGGGCGUAAAGCGCGUGUAGGCGGCUUAGCAAGUCGGGCGUGAAAGCCCUCGGCUCAACCGAGGAAGUGCACCCGAAACUGCUGAGCUUGAGUGCCGGAGAGGAUGGCGGAAUUCCCCAAGUAGAGGUGAAAUUCGUAGAUAUGGGGAGGAACACCGGUGGCGAAGGCGGCCAUCUGGACCGAGACUGACGCUGAGGCGCGAAAGCGUGGGGAGCAAACAGG
rnacentral:rRNA from 1 species